rnacentral:rRNA from 1 species
CGCUGGCGGCGUGCCUAACACAUGCAAGUCGAACGGAGCUCCUUCGGGGGCUUAGUGGCGAACGGGUGAGUAACGCGUGAGAAACCUGCCUUUCAGUGUGGGAUAGCGGUUGGAAACGACCGGUAAUACCGCAUAAUGUAUUUUAGGGGCAUCCCUUUGAUACCAAAGCUUUAUGUGCUGAAAGAUGGUCUCGCGUCUGAUUAGCUAGAUGGCGGGGUAACGGCCCACCAUGGCGACGAUCAGUAGCCGGUCUGAGAGGAUGAACGGCCACAUUGGGACUGAGAUACGGCCCAGACUCCUACGGGAGGCAGCAGUGGGGAAUAUUGGGCAAUGGGGGAAACCCUGACCCAGCAACGCCGCGUGAAGGAAGAAGGCCUUCGGGUUGUAAACUUCUUUUACCAGGGACGAAGAACGUGACGGUACCUGGAGAAAAAGCCACGGCUAACUACGUG